UGGGGAAUCUUGCACAAUGGGCGAAAGCCUGAUGCAGCAACGCCGCGUGAGCGAAGAAGGCCUUUGGGUCGUAAAGCUCUGUCCUUGGGGAAGAUAAUGACGGUACCCAUGGAGGAAGCCCCGGCUAACUACGUGCCAGCAGCCGCGGUAAUACGUAGGGGGCGAGCGUUAUCCGGAAUUAUUGGGCGUAAAGAGUGCGUAGGUGGUUCUUUAAGCGGGAGGUGAAAGGCAAUGGCUGAACUAUUGUAAGCCUUGCGAACUGGAGAACUUGAGUGCAGGAGAGGUAAGUGGAAUUCCGAGUGUAGCGGUGAAAUGCGUAGAUAUUAGGAGGAACACCAGUGGCGAAGGCGACUUACUGGACUGUAACUGACACUGAGGCACGAAAGCGUGGGGAGCAAACA
rnacentral:rRNA from 1 species